CUUUGAUUCUGGCUCAGGAUGAACGCUAGCGACAGGCUUAACACAUGCAAGUCGAGGGGCAGCGGGAUUGAAGCUUGCUUCAAUUGCCGGCGACCGGCGCACGGGUGAGUAACGCGUAUCCAACCUUCCGUACACUCAGGGAUAGCCUUUCGAAAGAAAGAUUAAUACCUGAUGGUAUGAUGAGAUUGCAUGAUAGCAUCAUUAAAGAUUUAUCGGUGUACGAUGGGGAUGCGUUCCAUUAGGUAGUAGGCGGGGUAACGGCCCACCUAGCCAACGAUGGAUAGGGGUUCUGAGAGGAAGGUCCCCCACAUUGGAACUGAGACACGGUCCAAACUCCUACGGGAGGCAGCAGUGAGGAAUAUUGGUCAAUGGACGAGAGUCUGAACCAGCCAAGUAGCGUGAAGGAUGAAGGUCUUACGGAUUGUAAACUUCUUUUAUAUGGGAAUAAACCCUCCCACGUGUGGGAGCUUGUAUGUACCUUAUGAAUAAGCAUCGGCUAACUCCGUGCCAGCAGCCGCGGUAAUACGGAGGAUGCGAGCGUUAUCCGGAUUUAUUGGGUUUAAAGGGAGCGCAGACGGGUCGUUAAGUCAGCUGUGAAAGUUUGGGGCUCAACCUUAAAAUUGCAGUUGAUACUGGCGUCCUUGAGUGCGGUUGAGGUGUGCGGAAUUCGUGGUGUAGCGGUGAAAUGCUUAGAUAUCACGAAGAACUCCGAUUGCGAAGGCAGCACACUAAUCCGUAACUGACGUUCAUGCUCGAAAGUGUGGGUAUCAAACAGGAUUAGAUACCCUGGUAGUCCACACGGUAAACGAUGGAUACUCGCUGUUGGCGAUAUACUGUCAGCGGCUUAGCGAAAGCGUUAAGUAUCCCACCUGGGGAGUACGCCGGCAACG
rnacentral:rRNA from 1 species